rnacentral:lncRNA from 1 species
AUGUGUCAGUCAAACUCCAGCAGCCUCACCGCGAGUAGUAGUGUCAUCUCAGAUCAAAGGAUCAGUCAUACAACUACAGCAUCGAGAAAGUCACUAAUAAGUGAGCAGACAUCCAUGUAAUUUUUCGUGUUGGUCACGCUCAGUGCUAGUUGUUCUCUAACAACCACCUGCAUUCUCGCUCCAGUAUUUCUACACUACAGAUUCGAGAUCCAUCUGUCCGAAGGAAGCGAUCCGUGCACCAGUCUAUCCGAAUCAAUCAUCAUUCCUAUGAUGAUCCUAUGACUAGGAGCAAUUUAAGAAUCAACCAUCAAUGACAUAUGCCUCAAAUUCUCAACUCUUUGAGAAUAUAUGUCAUCAUUUUGUUAAUCUAUUGGAUGAUUCAUGGACACAUAGAUAUGAAUGGUAAUAUAAUUACCCAAUAAGUACAAAAUCAUAUCCUAGAGAUAUGAAAUGUGUCGUCAAGAUUGAUUUCUAGGACAUACAUCCAACAGGCCUCCGC